rnacentral:rRNA from 1 species
UACGUAGGGUGCAAGCGUUGUCCGGAAUUAUUGGGCGUAAAGGGCUCGUAGGCGGUCUGUCACGUCGGGAGUGAAAACUCAGGGCUUAACCCUGAGCCUGCUUCCGAUACGGGCAGACUAGAGGUAUGCAGGGGAGAACGGAAUUCCUGGUGUAGCGGUGAAAUGCGCAGAUAUCAGGAGGAACACCGGUGGCGAAGGCGGGUCUCUGGGCCGAUACUGACGCUGAGGAGCGAAAGCGUGGGGGAGCGAACAGG